UGUAUUUUACCCGAGACAUUAGUGGUCUCCACUCUCAGAUGGGAGGUCGAAUCGAAGGUCAUGAAGGCCUUAGAAGGGGUAACGCUUCCGCCCGAUUAUUCCGCACCGGUUAUUUGUGCCUGAGGAGUAUCGGUCUGAAGUCAUUCAGUGGGGUCAUUGCUCCAGUAUAGCUUGUCAUCCAGGAGUUAAUCGUACCAGUUUUUUGGUUAAGCAACGAUUCUGGUGGCCGUUAAUGGCUCGUGAUAUCCGUAGUUUUGUUUUGGCUUGCUCUGUUUGUGCCACUGGUAAGACGUCCAACCGUCCCCCUGAUGGGUUACUACAACCGCUGUCAGUCCCUUCGAGACCCUGGUCCCACAUCGCUCUAGAUUUUGUUACCGUGUUUUGGGCACCUAUUAAUCCGCCUGUCCCGGUUCCUCCCCCACCGCGUCUCGUAGAUGGGGAACCCACUUAUUUGGUUAACCGUAUUCUGGACUCGAGAAGGAGGGGACGCGGAUUUCAGUACCUGUGGACUGGGAGUGUUACGGUCUGGAGGAGAGAAGUUGGGUUCCUGCUAGAGACAUUCUGGAUCACUCUCUGAUCGAUGAUUACAAUCGUCAGGUAAGACCGUCAGGGAACGCUAAGAGGCAUUCGUAAGGGAGGGGGUACUGUCACGGUUCAUGAAUUCACUCUCUCUCUCGUCUAUCGUGUUGUUAUGUGUGUGUCUAUGGGCGUGGUCACUGAUCAGCGAUGAUCAGCAGCGCCAGCUGGUUUCAAUUGUUUGUGGCCUAUAUAAGUUCAGUGACUGGUGUUUCAUGUUGUCAGAUCGUUGUUUCUCCCCGGUGUGCUCCCGUACCUGUUUCCUGUGUCCUAGUUCCUGCCUGAGUCUUCCUGUGUCGUCGUCGUCUUGGAUCUUCACUCUUCUCUGGAUUAUUCGUUCACCUUCACGAGGAUUGCUCACUCACCGGGAUUCGAGGGAUCAUCACCGAAGCAAGCACCAUCAUCGUUGCCCACCAAGGUCCCUGUGUCACCGUGCCAUCUGCCUUGUGUCCGCCCCUGUGUUGACCUGUAUUUUCUGUGACUUCCUGACUUUUGAGCUUGGUUAAUAAACACGCCUUGCGAUUA